rnacentral:rRNA from 1 species
GAGUUUGAUCCUGGCUCAGGACAAACGCUAGCGGCGUGCUUAACACAUGCAAGUCGAACGCUCUCUGGCAUUAGUCAGAGGGAGUGGCGGACGGGUGAGUAACACGUGGGUAACCUACCUCAAGGUGAGGAAUACCAACGAGAAAUCGUUGACAAUACCGCAUGAGCUUCUUCGGGAGCAAAGCUUCUCGUAUUGAGAGGCGCCUUGAGAUGGGCCUGCGCCUGAUUAUGCUAGUUGGUGGGGUAAAAGCCUACCAAGGCGACGAUCAGUAGCUGGUCUGAGAGGACGACCAGCCACACUGGGAUUGAGAACGGCCCAGACUCCUACGGGAGGCAGCAGUGAGGAAUUUUCCGCAAUGGACGCAAGUCUGACGGAGCAACGCCGCGUGCAGGACGAAGGUCUUCGGAUCGUAAACUGCUUUUAUCGAGGAAGAGAACGGACGGUACUCGAUGAAUAAGCCCCGGCUAACUACGUGCCAGCAGCCGCGGUAAUACGUAGGGGGCGAGCGUUGUCCGGAUUUAUUGGGCGUAAAGGGCCCGCAGGCGGUCCGCCAAGUUUGGGGUGAAAGCUCCUCGCUUAACGAGGAGAGAGCCGCAAAAACUGGUGGACUUGAGAGCGAGAGAGGGACAUGGAACUCCGGGUGAAGCAGUGAAAUGCGUAGAUAUCCGGAAGAACACCAAAGGCGAAGGCAGUGUCCUGGCUCGUAUCUGACGCUCAGGGGCGAAAGCCAGGGGAGCGAACGGGAUUAGAUACCCCGGUAGUCCUGGCCGUAAACGAUGACCACUCGACGCACGAAGAUUCGACCCUUUGUGUGUCUAAGCUAACGCGAUAAGUGGUCCGCCUGGGGAGUACGAUCGCAAGAUUAAAACUCA